rnacentral:rRNA from 1 species
GGGUUUAUUUUAAAUGGAUUAUUAUUAAUAUUUAAUAUUUUUAUAUAAUAUAAAUUUAUGUAAAAUAGAAAGUUUUUGUUUAUGAAGUAUUAAAGGUAUAGAUUCAUUGUUUAAUUUAGUACUGUAAAGGAUUAUAUUUUUAAGUUUUUUAUAGUAGAUUUUAUAUUCGUACCUUUUGUAUAAUGAGUUGAUAAUAUAUUUAGGUUUUAAUAUAAAUUAUUCUCGAAUUGAAAAGAUUUACUUAAUAUAUUAUUAUGUUAACGUUGUAUAGUUAUAUAAUUAGUGUUAAGUGGUAAUGAUAUAUUUAUCGUUUUUCAUGAUAGCUAGUUUAUUGAUUUAAAAUAUUUAAGUGUUAUGAUAUUAAUAUAGUUUUGUUUAUUUAAUAUUAUUUAUAGUAUGGGGGAUAAGCUUCAUAUUAUUUGUAGAAUUAAAUUAUGUUUAGUGAUAAUUAAAGUAGGGUUAAUAAUGUUUUUCUUUAUAAGUAGUUUAAAUAUAAUAUAUUUAGUUUUUCAAGUAUAAUUAAAUCAUAAAUGUUUAUGAAUUAAUUUAAAUAAAUAUAAUGUUAAUAUGAGUAUUAGUUAUUGUUAUAAAUUUGGUUUUUUUGAUAAUAAAUAAAUAAUGUUUAUUAAUAAAAUAAAAUAAUAUAAAGGAAUUCGGCAAAUAUUAAUCUCGCCUGUUUAUCAAAAACAUGUCUCUUUGUUAUUUAUAAAUAAAGAGUCGGGCCUGCUCGGUGAUAUAAUUUAACAGCUGCGGUAUUUUAACUGUACUAAGGUAGCAUAAUAGUUUGCCUUAUAAUUUGAGGCUAGAAUGAAUGGUUUGACGAAGGUUAUUCUGUCUCUGUUUUAUUUAUUAGAAAUUAAUUUUUAAAGUGAAAAAGCUUGAAUUUUUUAAAGGGACGAGAAGACCCUAUUGAGCUUAUAAUUUUAAUAUUGUUAUAUUAUAAUAUUAGAUAAAUUUUAAUUGGGGUGAUUAAGGAAUAAAAUAAUUAAGAAUAACUUCCUUGUAUAUAAUAUGGGUGUAUAAAUUAACCAAUUAUUGUAUUGCUUAUAUGAUAGUUACCAUAGGGAUAACAGCGUAAUUUAUUUAGAGAGUUCUUAUUAAAAAAUAAGAUUGCGACCUCGAUGUUGGAUUAAAAUAACCUUAAGGUGUAGAAGCUUUAAUAGGUAAAUCUGUUCGAUUUUUAAAAUUUUACAUGAUCUGAGUUCAGACCGGCGUAAGCCAGGUUGGUUUCUAUCUUUUAAAAUUAUAAAUUGUUUCUUUUAGUACGAAAGGAUCAAAGUUAACUAAAUCAUUAAUUAUAAUUUUAAUGAAUUAAUAAGGUUGAUAUAGUUUAAAUGAUUAAUUGUUUGUUACAUUAAGUAUAAUUGUA